CAUCCUCACAUAUCCCACCAAAAGAGCGUUUGGAGUGAACUAGAUAACAUGGAGAAGGUGCAACAAUGCCUCUUGUCUCUCCAGAAGUAGAAGAAAUGAGCUGGGGAUUUCUCCGUGAUAUUCUACGUCAGGUGAAUAAAUAUUCAACUGGAAUCGGCAGAAUCUCCCUGGCUAUNNNNNNNNNNNNNNNNNNNNNNNNNNNNNNNNNNNNNNNNNNNNNNNNNNNNNNNNNNNNNNNNNNNNNNNNNNNNNNNNNNNNNNNNNNNNNNNNNNNNUUCUUGAAGAGACCUAUUUUCUACUGGAAGAAUUUCAUGCAUAAAAUCCAUGUUCUAUAUGUAAGUGCAAUACUCAGAAGAACUGUGACUGUAUUAUUGGUUUGUGUUGAAGUUGCUAUUUUCUUGAACUCUGCUUAUACAAGAGUAAAUUUGAGUUUUGCAUUCUUCUAUUUUGAGUUGCUGGUUUUUGAACAAACAAUGGGGCUAAUCUUCUGGACCUGCACGCACUGAACCAACUGCAACAGUUUUCACCAAAUCUGUUCUCAACGGGGACUGAUCCAGCUAUCGUUAUAUAGUCAGCAAUGUUUGUGGGGGUGCUUUUGGGAAUGUUUGGAAAUGGCAACUGGCAUAGAAGGCUGCUGGCAUUCCCUAAAUGUAUAUUUUAAUUCAUCUGCACUGGCCUCCACAUUGGUUCUGGGCCCAAAUUUCAUUUCUCCUUACUAUCUUUCAAAGGGUAUAUGGUUUGGGUCCAAAGCAUUUAAAGGAAUGUCUCCUUGCAUGUGAUUCUAUUUACUAAGAUCUUCAGAGAAGGCUAUCUUAUCUCCAAGAGCUGUCUGAGGUUUGGUUGUCCUUUCUCAAGUCUUGGAUUUCUGUUACACUCACAGGUCUUGUUAAAACCAUCUGAUUUCAAUGUGGUUUUAAAAGUUUGAUUAGUCCCUGCCCUCUUCAUUUAGAUUGCAAAGGUUAUCUUCUGUUAUAAUUUUGUAAUUUCUAACAAUUGCUGGUUUGUCAUUUUUCAUUUUCUAGCAUUUCAUUGGUAUUUUUAAUUAUUUUGAUUUUGUUGAGCUGCAGUGAAAAGAGAAGCAGCAAAAUUAAAGUAAGAGAAAUGUCUCCCACUGGUUUCAAAUUGAUAGUCAGAACUAUGAUGGCUUGUUGCUACAUCCUGCCAAAGGUAAAGCCAACAAGUCAGAUAGUAUAUACUGUACCUCAGACUUCAGCUCAAUAUCGCCUCUCUGAGGCCAUUAGCUCCAGUUCAGUAAGAAACUCAUUUAACUUGAGAAUUUUGCCUCUUCCACACCCCCUUCCCCUUCUUACAUUUAUAUUUUGUCUGGCUCAUAUAUAGUAUUAAACCAGUUUAGCAUUGCUCUCAAAAUCUCAGGUUCAUGUCUUCCCUUGAGUGGAGGAGAUGGUAUGGAGAAGACUGGAAGUUUUCUUUUCCAUUUUCAGUUGAUAGCAGUUGGUUAUUAUGCAGACACUAUGAGUUGGCAUUCAUUAUACGGUAAUUCAAUAAAAACAGCCAGUUUUGAACUCUGCACAAAUGUCAUGGCAUGUUUCACUAAACAGCUGGAAAGCAACUUUGUGCUUUCCAGCUGUUUGGGACAAGAAGUCCUAUCAGACCUACUCCUCAUAGGCAAUGACCAGGAAUUCUAAGAGUUGCAGUCCAAUAUCUGGAUGGCACCAGAUUGUCCAUUCCUGAAUUAAACCAUUAACAUUAACUUCAUUAUAAAUUGAUAUCUAGUCUGCAGAGGAAGACAAUGUAUCAAUUACACAAACAAUAACUUGCUCAUGCAACCACUUAGAUACAGUAUCCUGGUUUUGGAUGCUCAGGUACCUGAACUGAAAGAAUGUUUGUUGCAGCCAUAUUCAAUACACACUGCAAACUGACAUACUUCAGACAUGUUAUCCAAUAUGGCUUAGCAUAGUAAUGCAAUUCUGCUUGCAGACCUCUGCUAGCUCACGCCAUAUAUACCACCUCUUGACUUACCAUACAGCCCUUGAAGCCCCUUCCACAUGUCCAUUCCAUGAUUUAUUGGGACAAUUCAGGGUUAGAGAAAUGUCUGGCUAAGCCCCGUAACCAGAUCCAAAAUGACUACAUUAGUGUAGAGAGCUUCCAAGGUCUUCUGGAUAUUUCAGCAUUCCUGGAAUCAUUUUGUCUAGCUAAGGGAACAUAAUAGGACACUUUUCUGAUCUUGUCUGCUCCCCACAAGAUACUGUAUUAGCCAGGAACUAAUUUUCUAGGAUGAUUGGGUAGAAAUGUGUUGGCCAGGCCCUGAUAGAAAACAAUGUUUCACCUUUCAAAAAUUUAUAAUGACCCUAAUCCAGUCUUUUUCUAACACCAACAGUACAAUGACAUUUGUGGAUCACUAUUUCACCCCAGGAAGUAGCAAGACCUGUGAUGUUAAAAGCAGUCAGUAAGAAAACUGGAUUGGAGACUGAAGGUGCAGUAACUGCUACGGCUAUUACAGAAAAAUUAUUAUGGAACAAUUCUUCUUAUGCAUCUUUCUGAGUUCCAUGCAGCAUGCCCUUAUGGUUGUCCCUCCAUAUCCACAGAUACUGUUAUCUACAGAUUCAACUUUUAAAACCCCUCAAAUCUAAAGCUUGAUUUUGCCAUAUUAUAUAAAUAAUGCAAUUUUUUUGCAAAUUGUAUAUAUUUUGCAUAAAUAUUGAUAUCCACAGGGUGUCCAAGGACCAAUACCCAGUGGAGACCAAGUCUCAAUUCUGGAAAACAGAUAUAUGAAACAAGAGAAGGAUCAUAAGAGGAAGAUAUACUUUGAUAUUCAUUGAAUUUAGAUGGGGAGAUCAUAUGGUUUGCUAGUAGAAUAUGUAUGUCUAUAGAUUAAAAUUUUAUUUCAAAUAGCAUCCUUGAUACUCUAAAGAGAAGGGAAUGUUAGAAACCUGCAUCACACACAGACAAAGCAAUUCUCCAAUGAACAGAUGAAUCUUACUUUCAAAGCUGAGGGUCCUUCCAGACAGGCCCAAAUCCUGAGAGAAACCAACAUUUAAAAUGCAGGUCACUCUUGGGUUUUAGGAGUAGCUAUAUCCUCCUGGGUCUACUAGCCCAUCAGAAGCUUACUCCUAAAGACUUGCAGAUGGAGGCAGGUCUCUCCAGUAAAUUUGCUGGGAAAAUGGGGAUCUGGGAGGGGAGGGUGGCAGUGCCAUCCUGGUUCUUCAGGCUCUUGGAGCCAAAAUAACUGUGAUGGCUGUGGAGAUUCAGGAUGGCAGAAGGUGAUCCCAAGAGGCAAUUCCCACAGGCCCCAUACCUGGGAAGGUGUGGACCUUCCAGGGAAGUCCGCACC
ensembl:lncRNA